AUGCAUUAGUAAUGUCAGAUUAAAAGCCUUCUUCCUGAGGAUGAAUGCACAGCCACUGGAAAGCACGUAACAAGUACAAGAAAAGACAAAGAAACAAGCAUGGGGAAAAGAUUCGGAUAUGAAGAGCCAUACAGCAAGGUGUCAGCAUGCAUUGACAGUCCAAAACAGAAAGGGAGUCCUCGCGGGAACAGCUCCCUGGAUGUAAAACCAAGAGUUAUGCCCACGGCCACAUCCUCUGAAGUAGCUGCUGAAAUAAAUCAGACUGUGGAAUAAGCAUUUGCUUGGGAGAAAGGAAAACUCUUUCCUUUGGAAUUUCAUUUAGCAACUAUACUUAACAGUCACCUGAUUGUGCUAAGAGAAUUGGCGAGAAUUCAGUUACCUCUGGAAAAGAGAAGAAAAUGGGCAGCUGGUUACUUGCAGUGCCUGGCAGAUGUUGACUGGACUUAUGAGAACUUAAAAAAAAAACAUUUUGUACCAGCAGCUUCAAACAAUGGAUCAAACACAAUUAAUGGUCUCAGAACCUCACCAGGCUCUACCAUAUUCUCCAGCAGGACAAAGAGCAGCAGAUUCGGGACUGCACAGCCAUAAAAAUGAGUGAUAUUCAAAGCAUUCUUGGCAACACUUUGAUGAAAAAGCAUCUUUGGAAAUGUCCAGGUCCUAUUCACCUCUCACCAGUGCUCACAUGUACUUCUCACAAAAUGACUUGCCUCUUGCAAAUGCUGACUUUGAGGCUGUAUAGAUAGGUGGCAUUUCACCCGUCACUACUCACGAACAACCUGCACUGCUCUGGAAAACCAGAAGUGUUUUGUGUAGUCCAAUGACAUGAUGGAUAGGUAUCACUGUAGAAGGACUGGCUCUGACUUUUAGUGGUGGAGAGCACUCAUAUCUGCCCAACAUCUGAGAGGAGAACAAGGAUUUUACGCAACUAAGAUGCUAGUACAUAUCUUGCCUCAGGCAUCUUAUUGUCCACAAUUUUUAUUUCGACUGAUAUUAUAAUAUUAGCCUCCACAAAUUUUAUUUGCAAAUUCUUCCAUUCAGCCUUAUGUCAUGAGGAGCUGUAUCCAGGAUUCAAAGCAGCAAAGCAGAAGUGGAAAGUUCUGUCAUCUCCUUUGAGUCACCAAGGACUCCUAGCCUGAUUCUGAAUUCCAAAUUCCUUUCUGGACCCAUGUAGGCAUUAUUCUAGCACAACUUAAUGACCAUGAGUUGUAUCUUUGUACAUUUUCAAUGUGAAAGCAAAACUACUGAUGCAUAAUAAGCACAAACAAACAG
rnacentral:lncRNA from 7 species